UCUGACCUUUUCUCAACACAUAACUCCUGGUUUUGACAUUUUCCUCCCUCCAGUAUAUGAAGGAACACUUUCUUAUAUGGUUUCUGGAUUAACUCCGGUCCUGGCAUCUUUUGUUUUCUCCAGAAGUCCGCUGCUGAAACUUAACUGCUGUUUAUAUCAAUCAGUCCAUGAUAAGAUCUAUCCUUUAUAGAAGGAAGCCUGAUUAUGUGAAAUAACUUGGACUGCAAGUAGCCAUUGUUAGCAGUGCGUUGUAUUAUAACCAAGCUCUUCAUGUCUCAGAUGAUGUCAGGAUUAAUUGGACAGUGUCCAUGCUGUCUGCCUAGAAGAUAGGAAUUGCGAAGUAUCAUCUGGAUGGGUUUGCAGCCAAUAAAGAAAGCUCCAAAGAAAGCCAAGUUUGUGAACUGUCUGAACUGCAAGCAGAAGAAUCCUCUUUGUACUAAUCCAUUUCAAGGAUAUGUUUACAUCAUGGCCUACUGCUCUGAACUUUUUAUGUAUCAGUGCAGGGAUUCAGAACAUCUGAAGGCCAACAUGCAGUUCCAGUUCGGUGACAGGUCUGAAGCUCCCAGCAGAAGCACCUGGACUAAAUAUGCAACAGGGCUUCAGUCAACACCAGCUCCAAAGUCACUGAACUCCAUGACAUCAUGCCCAGGCGGGAAAAGUCAACAGGCCUCUGGCUCAGAUCCUCCAGUCCCAGCCCCUCCAGUUCCUAACUCAGGGACAAUAUUUAGAAAGCAGAGCUGGGGUCAGGCAGCCCUCUUAAUUACUUUGGCUCAAACCUCCCUGAGUACAUUUUGCUAUCUUUGUUGUGAUGUAAACAGGGGCACUCACAGUUGGCAGGGGAUGUUCUUUCUGUUUUAAUUACGCAAGGCUUAAUAAUAGUUCUAGGAUCUAGAAGCAGUAUAGAGUUCUUUGGAUAACUUCACAGGGAUUUUUCUGUUAUGACAUAGUUUAUUUGGGGAAAAAAAGUAAGGCAAAAGGCAUUUUCAAAGAGGAAAUAAUAACGCUAUUCAAGCUAGCGUUCCAUUCCAUAUUGAGUAGAUCACAAACUUAGAGUAGACUUUUUAUGGAAGGUGGGGUGCUAGACAUCUCAAACUGUUGCAUUCAGAUAGUGGUGGGAAAACUGCAUAAAUACUGAUGAAUGGAUGUAGGUGGUGAAGAAUAUGAAAAUAGAUGUUUUUACUUAAAAAAAAAAAAACAAAAAAACCAAUAAUGAAACAUCUAGCUGUAUCUAAGUGCAUCUGUAAGCACCCUGGGUUCCAGGGAUACAGAAAAAAAAUCUCACCACGGUGAUAGAAAUCUAGCCUAAACCUGAUCCAUAAAAUUCCCUCUGCCCCCAGAUGUUCACUUAGAGGGCACUUCGUUACUCUGCUGAUGUAGCGAGAAAUCACAGAACUGCAGGGUAAUGGAGAGAGCAGUGACAGGGGUGGAGAGGGGGCUGCUUCUCUGUUAAGAAACAUGUUUUUAUAGGUAAUUCUGAUGUACAGUAGGUAUUAAAUAGAGCAACUAAAAGAUGUUUUAUUUUAGAUUAGUGCCAGAGUGAUAUUUUCCCCAUGGCACUAAUAACCAGGCAGUUUUCAUGGGCCCAAUUUCCCCCCCAGGUUCUCAAGACUCCCAGUUCUGUCUAUUCUGGCAUCAGGGUAAGCCAUUGAGAUGAAAUCUCUACCUUAGGAAAAGAAUCACCUUUGUCUCUGUGCUAGUUGGAAAGGAUGUGAUAUGAUGCACUUGGGAGGAAAGGGCGGGGGAGAAGAUAUGAAGUAAGUUCUGUGCAUGCAAUUUAGAGACAGGGAAAUAUAGAUAGAGGGGGCAAGCCCUGGAUAAAAAAAAAAUAGCAUUUCCAGAUGGCAUUUUGUAAUUGAGUAAUCACAUAAGAUGCCCUUUAUGCGUGUGUGUUGGCUUGAAAUCCAGGGAACAGAUCGUUUCAACCUAACAUCUCUGCUCUCUGCACUGGACACAGUCCUUGUCUAAUUGUGAGCCCCUUACAUCCUUCAAGGGCUGUCACAGGAACCACAAUAAAGAGGCCUG